UUUAAGUCUCCCUUCCUUUCCUUACACUUUCGGAAGUUUCCUUGUUAUCUUUUCACGCCUUCAUUUUUCAGGUCUUAAUUUCAUUGAGUUCUGCGGCCUUCUUAUGGCAGCUUUUUCCGUUAACUAAUUCAGGGUGGCUGGUGCUCUUAAAAUGGGCUUUGUAUGGGCCUUAGUAUAUUUACAAAUAGUUUGUGUCAACUCAGCCACUAAUUCCUCAUGAUGCUGUAUCUCAAACACAGAAGGUAAAUAAACACAUGCACACACAUUCAUUCAUAGUGAGGCAUUACAGCAGAGAGGAGUGAUGAACUGCCUGGCGGAGGCCUGGGGAAAUAUCUUCAUUUCGGAAGGAGAGGAAUGAAGCAAGGAAAGACACAGGGAAGAGAAGGGGAAUACUUGAAGGCAGAGAGCCCAAAGGUGUUGAGGGCCUGGCAGCGGGGAUAGAAAGGAGAACACAGUACAAAAGGCCCAAAGAAGGAAGCGUUGACAGAACUUAGGGACUGCCUGGCAGGGAGCCGUAAGAAAGAGGAGUCUGGGCUCUGGCCUCUCUGUGAGUGAAACAAGAAGGAAGUGGGUUUAGGGAAAAGGGAGAGUUCGGGUUUGGAAAUGCUGAAUUAAUUGGACGCCUAGGGGGCGCUGUGUAAUAGAGAGUUGGAUGAACAGUGAGGUGAGCCAGACCAGAUUUGGAAAUGGCCAGAAGAGAGGUAGUGACAGAAGCCACGAGACUGAAUGAGAUUAUCCUGGCCCGUCGGGGACAAAGUCCUUGGAAACAUGGUCUUAUGAGUAGAUGGUUGUCCACAGGAAGUGGGUGAAUGCUCCACCGACAUUUUAAGAGAAGCUAAUUAUCUGGGCUGUGGACCAUCUGUGCUCCUGGCGUCUUCCUCCUGAUGUCAAGCUGGUGGCUGCUCUGUUGGUUGUUAACUAACCCAUCCAUGGAAUGGCCUCAGCUCUACAACAAGCAUGAUGCUGAACAGUUCCCAGUAAUUCUGUACCACCAUGCUCCCCGCCUUUCCGACAGCACUUUCCUGUGACUUCUAAAAACAGCAGGUACUAUGGGGCUGCCUAUAUGAGCUGGAGAGAAGCAGAAACGAAGGAGUGAAAAAGAAAUAGAGCACCUUGUAAAGGACUUGGCCCUAAGGAUAAAGUCAGAAUUGGGGAAGUCUGUCUUCUGAUUGGCCUCCCUCUGCUCUGCCCUCCAUGGUGAACUCGUGCUCAGAAGCAUGUAAGUUGCUGAUGGAAGGCCUACUGGAUGCAAGCCUUGGCUGGGAUGAAAAGGUAGGGAGAUGGUAGGACAGAGGGUCAAAUACCCUGGGUGACAAAUAAUGGGACUUUCUUCAACAGGAACCGGUGACCAACAGGCAGAACCUUGGAAACUUUUCUGGAAAGGAAAGAGUAUCCUCUCGCAGAUAAUUCUCCCCUUGCCCCUCAACCCCCCUCCCCUCACAUUCCUCACCUCCAGGCCCAGUUCUUUUACCUGAUCCUGUUUUUGUGACCUUGUUUAAACACCUCCAGCCCAUUGUAAACACUCCCUUCAUCUCUGGUCCUCCACUUCUCCCUCAGCACUUGCCUCCCUCCCCAGCGCCCCUUCAGUCACCUCUGUGCCUGCCCAGCCAGCUAGACUUCCACACCAAAAUAAAGGCCCGUUUGACCCUCCUACUGCUCCAGAUUGCUUCUGUGCAAUCAAGGCUAUCCUGCAGCUACCAAAGUGGCAGAGUUACUGAGGCAAAAUAAUCUGUGCCGAUUUGCAUUCUCUUCCUUGUCAGCUCUAUUAUACAGUGUUUAUCUGUCAAAAUGAAUAGAAAGUAGAAAUUGUUCUGGAACACAGAAAAAGAUGGAAAACUACCCGAUUUGUUUACGAAGCCAGAGUAUACCGAAUAUCAAAACCUGUCAGCAGAAGCCCCCCACCAAAAACCCCUGUAGACCAAUCUCACUUAUGAAUAUAAAUGUAAAAAUCCUAAAAUAGUUAAGAUUAACAUAUAAAAGACAGCAGUAUAUUAAUAUAAUAAUUACACAAAAACCAACUAGGGCUUAAUCUUGGGACUUAAGACAAGAUUAGGUAUUAGGAAAUUUAUUUAUAUAAAAGGUCAAAAAUAAACCAAACAAGAAAAACAUCUGAUCAUUUUAAUAGUCACCAAAGAGGGCGCCUGGGUGGCUCAGUUGGUUAAGCGACUGCCUUCGGCUCAGGUCAUGAUCCUGGAGUCCCGGGAUCGAGUCCCACGUCGGGCUCCCUGCUCAGCAGGGAGUCUGCCUCUCUCUCUGACCCUCCCCCCUCUCAUGCUAUCUCAUUCUCUCUCUCAAAUAAAUAAAUAAAAUCUUAAAAAAAAAAAAAAAAA